UUUAUUUGAGAGUUUGAUCCUGGCUCAGGACGAACGCUGGCGGCGUGCCUAAUACAUGCAAGUUGAGCGAUGAAGAUUGGUGCUUGCACCAA
rnacentral:rRNA from 1 species